GACGAACCGUCCUAACGUUGUUCGGAAUCACUGGGCUUAAAGGGCGCGUAGGCGGGUCAGCAAGUCCGGGGUGAAAUCUUUCGGCUUAACCGGAAAAGUGCCUUGGAUACUGCUGGUCUAGAGGGAGGUAGGGGCAUGUGGAACUUCCGGUGGAGCGGUGAAAUGCGUUGAUAUCGGAAGGAACGCCGGUGGCGAAAGCGACGUGCUGGAUCUCUUCUGACGCUGAGGCGCGAAAGCCAGGGGAGCAAACAGG
rnacentral:rRNA from 1 species